AGGAAUAAUAAAAUUAGCCUUAAUUGCAUCUCCUGCAUCUUCAAAAAUAUGAGCUCAGGGAGAGAAAGUUGGUUUAUAAAUUUUUGGCUUUAAAGCAGGAGCAGGAUGAUGCUGCACAGGAGGUGAUGGAGGUUAUAUCCUACUUUUUCAUAGCAGUUGUACCUUAAAAACUAAGCAAAAUAUAUGAACUUGCAGAGAAACACAACAAACAGAAAACUAAUUCAACACAUGAACAACACACACGGUUUAAAUUCUAAUUAAUGACAGAAAACAAAUAUAUGUUUACAAAACACACAACCAAUGGAACAAACAGAUAUGUUGUUCAGAAUAUAGGAAGGAAUCUACUAAUAAUGGGAAGGUACACAUCAAAGUUAAAAUACUGCUCUCAGUGAGGAGGCAGCAAUGACAUGGCCAAGCGAAGAACAGAUGCACCUCCAGUGUUCAUAGACCAUCUAUUAUUAGAGCUUUUCUAUAUUUCAUUCCUUGCAGCCUAGUUAAAAUUAAGCCAGAAAUGUUAAUACAGAGCUGAGUUUUCCCACAGUCCUAAAGAACAGAACAAUUCUGAAAUUCCAUAUAUACUACUACUAAUAAAGCCAUGCCAGCUUCUAUGAUAUUACAUGCCAUCUAGGAUCAGACUUCUAGUAAACAGCCUGUUUUUCCUAUUUUCACGUAUCUGUUCUAUGGGUCUUGUCCCCCCUAUGUCCCCUGUCACCCUCAAUCCAUUUCACUCCAACCAUCAACUUUCAAAAGGCUUGGUUGCUUCGACAAUUUUCUUUAAAAUUAUCAAAGGUGAACACAAAUCUUCCUCUAGUGUGUCCUACCCAAUUCUUGAUUCAUCACUUGCAGCAAAAAUUAUGCUGAUGUAAUAUACAGACGAGGAAUCAAUCAUAGUUCAUGACUUGAUUAUAAUAUGGUAACUACUUUCGUCUCUCAUAUAAAGCUUGAAUUGAUAUUGAAUCAUGAGAACAGCUUUUCUAUAUUGUGAGAACAGCCUCUCACAUAACUUGAGCAUAUGUAAGCUGAAGGACGGGGCUUGUGUAAAUGUAAGCUCAAGAACAGAAUGUGGAGGAGGCCGCAGAGCUUGUUGUCAGGUGAAGACAAGAAAGUAGAAUAGAUGUCCUGUUGUUGAAGAUAAGAUGGAAAAACAGAUGCCUCAGCUCAAUGUAACAUCAGCGGGAACUGGUUUGUGCUACUGCCCCCUUAAAAGGUUGGAAAUUUACAGCGAGAAUGCAUCCCACAACCACCAGAGAUGUUAAUCAUUGCUUGGAAUUUCUGCCCAUGUCCUUGGAAUGUAAUAAACAUGUAUACACUAUACCUUUAAAUAUGUAGUCGCUGCUUCACUUGGUGUGCAUGUUGGUGGAGCAAUCCCCCAUGCACCCAAUGCUACAAUAAGGGGAAUGCCUGCUUGACAUAACUCAUUGGCGUGUCAAGUUACUUUGUUGGUUUUCUUGGCUUCAAAAGGAGCAUACUGUGUUUUAUCUGCUGAUGGGGGUAGUAGCCCAUAGGCUAACAGCUGUUCUGUUUGCCUCUGAUGUAUGCAUUCGAACUGCUUACAAUGCAGGGACAAAAAAAAACCCAUAAAAUAGAUUAACUUGAACUAAAGGAAUUUUGCAAAUAUGCCUGAUUACACAAAGGAAAAGAAAAAUGUAGAAAACAACAAUAUUCCCCAUACUUUAUUUCCAGGAGCUAGCAAUUUUCUGUUCUUGAUGCAAAUGCCUACCUCCUGACAUCAGCUCCAUUCUCUGUGCUUGCAGAUCCCGCUGUUUGAAAAGGCUCACAGCCACAGCCUGUGUAGCUUCUUUGCCUAUAGGAGAUCUACAGUGAUAACUGGAAAUUCUGACCCACUAAAAAGACUGUUGUCUUGGGAAGAAGUAUAUCUGUGGAAAUAUUUGCCAAAACGUGCCGCAGGUGAUAAGUUAACGAAGUCCUUGCAAGCAUUGGGAACUUCAAGGAUGUAAUGGGAGAAGAAGAACAUCUUUCCAUCAGUUUUAUUCUAUAUCCUUGAAUGUCUACUGCUGGUAGUAGUAUAGUGGGUAGUAGUAUACUGAGACUAAGGGAUACUACGUCUUAGCAAAAUAUUGGGUCAUUUGCCCUUUAUAUCCAAGUAGUACCUCAUGGGAGAACCAAGGCACUUGUUAUGUCAUAGCAAAAAAUUCAGACUGUGAAAGGUUUGGAAGGCAUAUGCCUGCCUACAGUUUUUCUCCGCAAGAGCAUUUAGCAGUCAAGUUCUAGAGGUCUUUUAUGCACUCCUUGUAUAUUAAAAUUGCCAUCAUCUAAUCUUGGAAACUAGAGUAUUCACUCUAGUGCUGACAUUAAAGCAAAUGAAUGGGAUUAUUUAAACUAUUUGAAAGCUUUGAGACUACAUUCAUUCACGUUUGAAAUUUUAGUUUCUAUCCCCAUUCUGCAUUCACAUUUGAAGGCAACAGGUGCCAUGCAGGGAUUUUCUAAAAAAUGUGUCCUUAAGUUCAUAGAACUCGAACAUUUCCUGCAUUCCAGGUUUGAAAUAUCAUUUUUUUCCAAGAAAUUCAUCUCCUAGACAUUUUGGUUUUGCACCCUGUCUUUUCUGGACAACCUUUGAUAUGAUAUCAGUGAGUAAAAGAAAUCACUUGUACUCACUUACGGGAAAGAUGUCUCUGGAUGGCAGCAAAGCAUAGAAAAAUUGCUGCUGAUUCAUGGGAAAAAAUCUCCUGAAUCCGAUUUAACUUGAUUUAGCAUACUAGUAAAAGUUUGUUAUUCUUUUGGCUGCAACUCUUUUUCUGUUUCUCUUUAAUUGAAAUCCGAUACAAGUCUCCUCACGUUUGUUUGCAGUGUGUUAGAAGCAAAUGGAAGUUUUGGCUUCAAUAGAACUGUGCCCUCAGUAUUUAGUUUAUAGGUUGUUGGUUUUUUUUUAAAUUUUAUUCACACCUUAAAAUACACUCAAAAAUAUAUAUCGUUCAUUCUCCAUAGAGAAUUAACUAAUAUUUAUCAUUUCACAUCUCCCUUUUUGAGAUCCUACAGCCAUUUACCAAGUGUAACUUUUACUUCCAGCUUCUGUGCCUGAAGAUAACCUCUUGCUAGUGAGCAGCAGAGGAAUACAGAAUGCUGGGUCAACUGUCCUCUCUACCCUCUUGAAGGUUAUCCUGAAGGAGCAAUGCUGUAUGGAGCUCUGCUCAGGUGCACUUCUGGUGAGGAUGCCUGGCUUGGAGGAAUUACACAUCUAACUCCAUUGGUGGGAAGUCAGUGAGAGAUUUUCUGUUAUCAAGCUCUUGGACGUACACCAGAAAUCAAAAAGGUUGAUAUAUUUGUGGAUGAUUUAAACAUGCCCAGCUUGGGUUGUUAUGCCUCUGAGCGUCCUCUUGAGCUGCUUUGACAGUCUUCAGAUUUUGGAAGUGUCUAUGACAGGGAUAAACAUUAUUAGAAAUGGUCACCUGAGCUCCUAGACUAUUCAUGUGUUGAAUCUGAUGAGGUUAUUUGGAUUCCUUACUUGUAUGCCAUUAUGGGGUUAUUAGUUUCUACUCUGUGUAAGAAUAAUGUGAAGGUUGUAAAAAUUAUAACCAUUCCAAGGACAGAAAUACAGAGCAGUUUGAGUGACUUGCUGCCUUUUUAAUAAUGCAGAAGUGCAGAAGGCUGAAGCUAAAGUACAGAAGCCAUAUCUGGAAUUUUUCUUUAGCAAGAGAGCUUUACUUCAUUCUGAAAUAGAAGAAAGCUUGAAAUUAAUUCUAAGAUGGGAUGACAUUCUCAUUGUCAAACUGAAAGCUGUUUUUUUUCUCUCACUUUCUGUCAGUUGUGAGCUUAGCACAUUGCAAGUCCAUUGACAGCAAACAAUAGAUUGAUCUGAAAAACUGGCAGGGUAUUUAUGCUAUAUUAAUUAUUUUUGAAUAGCAGCAUGCAAGUGCACCCUAAUAAUUUUUUAUUAAGAUGCUUUUGAUGCUUACUUCCCUCCUGAUUUCUCUUGAACCAUUCACGAUGACACUAGUGGUUUGCACUGCCAAUAUUACUUGCAUGUAAACGCUGAUAAUUACUUGCUAACACUGUACCUGUUUUUUCUUCUUCUAGUAUGCAAUAAUGGCACCACCUUCUACUCCUCCACAUGGUGGCUACAAUUCUGUAAUUUCGCAUUUUAUUGCAACGCUUUCCUUGACUGUGCCUUCUAACACUUCCAGAGUAUAAAUAAAACACAUUUUUCAGAUUGGUAACAACUUGUAUUUUACCAUAAGUUGAAAAAAAGCAUCUUAAAUGGACUAUGCAAUAUAGCUAACUGCACGGAUGAGUAAAAGGACCGCAAUCUUUUGUUCAUGGAAAACUUUUUUUUUAUUUCCGUGGAAUUUGGAUCUUUCCACUUCCUACGUGCCCAUCUAUUAAUUUGAAAUGUAUCAAUGAAAUAUUUUUUCUCCUUCUUUUUCUGGAGUCCAUAAAUAUAUCAAAGAGCUAAAAAAGAUUUACUGGCAUUUGUAGUUCUGUACUCCUUCAGGAUUUUAUCCUGUGAUUAAAUACAAGCCAUACUGUCUUUUGUAUGUAUGCGCAUAGGUACUUACAUUUUAGGAAUUUUCCAAGAUGGGACUGAUCCUGUGAUCUUUUUACCAGUGGCCAUUACUCAGUGUUGGUGAGGCAGCACUUGGCGUACUGUGUCCAGUUCUGUGCUCUCCGGUAUAAGGGAGACAUUAACACACUGGAAAGGGUCCAACAAAGGGCCACCUCUUCAAGAUGAAGAAGAGAUGGAGCACCUCUCUCAUGAGGAGAAGUUAAGAGAGCUGGAGCUGUUCAGCCUGGAGCAGAGAGGGCUCCAGAGGAUCUCAUCAGUGUUUACAAAUACUUACUAGGAAGGGUACAAUUCAGUUGGAGCCAGGCUUUUUUUCAGUGGACAAAAGGCCAUGGGCACAAACUGGAACACAGGAGGGACCCUCUGAGCACCAGGAAGCACUUCUCCACGUGGGUGACUGAAAACUUGUAAAAGUGGCUCAGAGAGGUUGUGGACUCUCCUCCUUGGAGAUCUUCAAAAGCCACCUGGACAUAGGCCUGGGCAGCCUGCUCUAGAUGUUCCUGUCGCUGUUAAGCAGGACUCUUGGACUAAGUGACCACCAGAGGUUCCUUCCAACCUCAACCAUUCUGUGACUCAUCAUUCUCUGAGUAGCACCUGUCAAUAGGCCAGGAGCACUGCUGCUCAGUGACCCUAACAGCACAGUCCAGCAUCCCAUCAAGAUGGUCAGGAGAACUGCAGGCACCACACUACCUACUAGUGAUUCUUGCUGUAUUCCGCUUUCUUCUGACCAGAUCUUCAGACCCUAGUUUUCAUUUCUCUUUCUCCCUCUGAUGUGAUUAUGUUUUCUAGAGCAAGGUGUGUGAUUUUCAGUUAAUCAAACUCCAGCUUCAGUCUUCUGCCUCUGCUUGCAGAAGAGAUGAAGGAAGAUUGUUUUCCCUGAAUAUUUCUUCCCAAAAGAUGAAAAAAGAAAAAGCAGUCAAAGCAUUUAACCAGAAAGGUUUGUUUAUAAAUGAAUGUAAAUAUAGAAUUUGCUUUAAUAGGGCAUACAUACCCUCAUUCUGUCCUUUUAGCUCAUGUGCUUCAUUUGUGCAGGUAGCUAAUGUAUGUUGCUUGAAACCAAACCAGCUGACCCUUUCUGAUUCAGCUUUCCCUCAUUUGUUUUAAAACAUAUGUGAGCACGCACACAGAAGGGCUUCUAACUUCCUUUUCGGAAUCUAUACUCUUUCUGCCUUCGCCAUUAAUUCUGUCUUUGCAGUUUGUUUCCACUGGAUUUAAAAUAUCCUUAUGAGGUACAGAUUGGUAAAUGCCAGAGAAAGGCAAUGAACACUGAAUGUAACAUGACUAUAUUUACAUAUAGUACAUUAGCUUUCAGGGACAAGGAUUAUUUAGUUGAUAAAUGAGAACAGUCAGAGUAAAUUAGCUGAGUUUCCUGUAAUUCUGAAAGUCACACUGAAAAAUGAUCUGUUCUUCAUGCUUUUCCUUGUCCCAUAGCUAAAAGUGGACAUAAAGAACAAAAUGUGUGAUGUUUUGUAACUAAUAAUAUUUUUAUCAGAAUAUGACCUACCUGUGGGAUUCACAGUGGAUGCAGUCAUUGUACAUUAUUAUGACAUACUAGUUUUAUUACUUUGAGUAAUAUAGGUAGUUAUCUAAGUUAAACUAAUUAAAGCAAUCCAGGUUUGCUUCUUGCCAUUCAAAGAGUUGUUACUGAAAUCAGUUUUUUUAAAGUACGAUACAAGAAAACUUACUGCCCCUUUGCAGCAUCUGUGCCUGACCAGAAUUAAAAAUAAAUAAAUAAAUAAAUAACCAAUUUUAGUUGAUAUUCACUUCACAUAUUGAAAUGUAUGUUCCUCCCUGCUUAUGUUUGUGUACUACAUGUAUUCCUAUAAGUAUUGUAAAUGUUUUAAAUAGCUUUUCUUGUAAGGUAAGUUGAAAGUAUUUGUUAACAACAUAACAUGCAUUGUAAUAUUAAAAUGUUAAUAAUAUCAGUAGUACAAACAUACAUGAAGAUCAAGAAUGCCUUUUUCCUUAUUCCCACUUUCAACAGGUCAAUUGCAAUUGUAAUUCCUCUGCCAUCUCAUCUCUGUUCUUCAUUCCUUAGAGUAUAGAUGGAUUUCUCAUGUCCCUGAAGCUCACAUCCUUGGGCAUCUAGGUGAGAAAUGGGAGAAUAAAUCCCACCCACCACCAACACUAUAAGGGCAGAGCAAGUCCAAGACCGCCUCAUGAGUCUGAGCCUCACCUCUGUGCCUGGGAAGAUAAUGUAACAGAUCCUCCUAGAAGACAUGUUAGGGCACAUGAGGGAUGAGCCUAUGAUCCGAGACAGCCAGCAUGGCUUCACCAAGAGACCCGGUCUAAUGGUCUUCUAUGAUGGAUUGGCUACACUGGUGGACAAGGGGAAGGUGACCAUUGUCAUCUACCUGGACUUGUGCAAGACCUUUGACAUGUUCCCCCCCACAUCCUGAUCUCUAAAUUGGAGAGAUACAGAUUUGAGAGGUGGACUAUUCAGUGGAUAAGGAAUUGGUUAGAAGGCCACAGACAGAGGGUUAUGUUGAAUGGCACUAUGUCCAGGUGGAGGCCGGUAACAAGUGGCGUCCCCCAGGGGUCUGUCUUGGAACUGGUGCUCUUCUGCAUCUUCAUCAAUGACACUGACAAUGGGCUUGAGUGCACACUCAGCAAGU